rnacentral:rRNA from 1 species
GGGGUCCUACGGGACGCAGCAAUGGGGGAAAUUGCACAAUGGGGGAAACCCUGAUGCAGCGACGCCGCGUGGGCGAAGAAAUAUUUCGGUAUGUAAAGCCCGAUCAGCAGGGAAGAAGAAAUGACGGUACCUGAGUAAGAAGCACCGGCUAAAUACGUGCCAGCAGCCGCGGUAAUACGUAUGGUGCAAGCGUUAUCCGGAUUUACUGGGUGUAAAGGGAGCGCAGGCGGCACGGCAAGCCUGAUGUGAAAGCCCGCGGCCCAACCGCGGGACUGCAUUGGGAACUACCGGGCUGGAGUGCCGGG